CGGUUCCUUACAUUUUAAGUACUCUUAUAUGAAAGAGCAAGACAGUUUAAGUUUUAAUGCUAAGCUAUUGUGUUACAAACCCAUUUGCCUUACUUGUUUGGGUAAGGUUGACGAUAUUUCAAUUGGUGCAGUGAACUUGACUGCUUGUACGUAUGACCUCUGUGUAUGUGCUUUUUCAAUUACGUUUUAUGCAAAGUUCAUUGUUUUAUGCUAUGUCACGAAACUCGUGCUACUUUCGUAAAUCUCGUCACGGCAGUUUGGUUUGAGCUUAUUAUAAUUUUGCAAGUUAGCCUUAUCGCUAUAAUUGUUAGUAUUUUAAUUUAUGCAAGUGUACCUUGUUUGCUUUAUGUAAUCGGUAUAAAAAGGAUAUGUCUCUUACAUAUAUCGCAACCCAACGCUUAUUUAUUACGAACCAAUUUACCUGUCUUUGCCUGUUUGGGUAAUGUGGACGAUAUUUAAAUUUUCGCAGAGGGCGUGGUUGCUUGUACUUAUGUCCUCUGUGUAUUAUUUUUCUCAGAGGUUGUGGUAGCUUGGUCUAUGACCUCUGUGUAUUUACUUUUGCAAAUAUUGUAGUAUGUAGUGGGUAUUGUUUUAUGCUUCGUCAUGAAACUCAUGCUGCUUUGGUUUUGCAGAGGUCGUAGUAGCUUGGUCUAUGAUCUCUGUAUUGUUUUAUGCUUCGUCAUGAAACUCAUGCUACUCUUUCAGAAGUCGUAGUAGCUUGGUCUAUGACCUCUGUGUAUUUGCUUUUGUAAAGUUAAUAUGUAGUGGGUUUUGUUUUAUGCUUCGUCAUGAAACGCAUGUUAUAUUUUUACAGAGGUCGUAGUAGCUUGGUCUAUGAUCUCUGUAUUGUUUUAUGCUUCGUCAUGAAACUCAUGCUAAACUACUUUUAAUUAUUUUUUCGUCAUGGUGAUUGGUUUG
rnacentral:lncRNA from 1 species